rnacentral:miRNA from 2 species
UGGGUGGUCUGGAGAUUUGUGC